AGAAGACCAUAAGUUCAAAUUGGCAACAUUUGGAUGAAAUAGGGGGAGACUUCACUCUCAUAUUUGAAAAGCUGAAAUUCAGCAACUUGAGCCCUUCUAAAAUUAAUUUUAAGAUAAGAAUCCAUUUGAUCAUACUCAAUAUUUUGUAAUCAUCAAAAAGGGAGAGAUUAAGGAUGAUAGUGGUAUUUUGAUGAUUAAUACAAUGAUUAAUAAUGAGAUAAAAUUUGCGAUAGGAAAGGGAUAGUGAAUUCUAAAUUCCAAUUCGGCAAAGUUUCAAGUGAAACAUACUCUUAAGUGGACAAUAGUAAUUUUCAUUGUUUAGAGUAUGUAGCACCACCAUGACAUAUAUUCAAAAUUGUUUAAAGUUUAUUUCAUUGAUUAUAUGGAUAAAUCUAACCUUAAGUUGCAACAAAGUAUGGAUUGAGUCGACCCCAAGCUUGAUUGAGUCGACCCCGGCACAUCAAGAAAACAUCUGGCACACUUCUGCAAAAAUGGCAUGGAUGAACAGUACUUGGGUCGACCCAAGUGAAAGUUGAGUCGACCCCAUCUUCAAGCUUCAAGAAAACAAGUCUCUGGAAUCCCUGAGAGGGUCGACCCAAAUGGAACUUGAGUCGACCC
rnacentral:lncRNA from 1 species